GAUGACCGCUAGCGGCAGGCUUUAAUACAUGCAAGUCUAGGGCAGCGCGGGUAGCAAUACCUGCGGUGACCGGCAAACGGGUGCGGAACACGGUACGCAACCUUCCCAAACUGGGGAAUAGCCCUCCGAAAGGAGGAUUAAUACCCCGUAACAUACCGAAGAGGCAUCUUUUUGUUAUUAUAGCUCAGGCGGUUUUGGAUGGGCGUGCGGCUGAUUAGGUAGUUGGCGGGGUAACGGCCCACCAAGCCUGCGAUCAGUAACUGGUGUGAGAGCACGACCAGUCACACGGGCACUGAGACACGGGCCCGACUCCUACGGGAGGCAGCGGUAAGGAAUAUUGGUCAAUGGACGCAAGUCUGAACCAGCAUGCCGCGUGAAGGAUGAAGGCCCUCUGGGUUGUAAACUUCUUUUAUCUGGGACGAAAAAAGGGAAUUCUUUCUCACUUGACGGU
rnacentral:rRNA from 1 species